AUUGAACGCUGGCGGAAUGCUUUACACAUGCAAGUCGAACGGCAGCACGGACUUCGGUCUGGUGGCGAGUGGCGAACGGGUGAGUAAUGUAUCGGAACGUGCCCAGUCGUGGGGGAUAACGUAGUGAAAAUUACGCUAAUACCGCAUACGAUCUAUGGAUGAAAGCGGGGUAUCGCAAGACCUCGCGCGAUUGGAGCGGCCGUCAUCAGAUGAGGUAGUUGGUGGGGUAAAGGCCCACCAACCCAACGAUCUGUAGCUGGUCUGAGAGGACGACCAGCCACACUGGAACUGAGACACGGUCCAGACUCCUACGGGAGGCAGCAGUGGGGAAUUUUGGACAAUGGGCGAAAGCCUGAUCCAGCCAUUCCGCGUGCAGGAUGAAGGCCCUCGGGUUGUAAACUGCUUUUGUACAGAACGAAAAGGUUUCUACUAAUACUAGGAGCUCAUGACGGUACUGUAAGAAUAAGCACCGGCUAACUACGUGCCAGCAGCCGCCGCAG
rnacentral:rRNA from 1 species